GCCUGAUAUUGGUGAGAACUGCACUGUAUGUGAUUGUUGCCACAUAUUCACAGAGCAUGUAUCCGAGUAUCUGUGUGGAAGCAGUUGAGAAACUAGCCGAGUAUCUGCGUGAAAAGGGAAACUGAAGCUCGUCAUAUAAGACCUGAAGAGGUGAAGAAUCUAUUCAGUGUGAUUUUUAACACUAUUGACGAGAAGCUAUGAACUGUACUCAGUCUGCUUAGUUACAGUAACACCAAGGUAGGUUGUUUCCGUAUGGCACAGAUAAACAAGAAACAUAAAAAGCAUGUUUUUUGGAUUCAUGUAAUGGGAUUUUAAUUUACACAUUGAGAUCUGGCAUCUUAAAAUAUACACACAACUGUAGUUUUACAUCUCAACACUAAACAUAACGACACACAAACUCAACUGCCACAACUUCGGCAACAAGAUCUUUCACAGAAAGAAUAUAAAACUCCAUAGAGACUGCAAACAGAACAAAAACUUUUACAACUGAAUGUUAUUGGUGUUACCAUUCAUAUAAACAGAGAACAUGUUACACAGUCUUAUAUUAUUCAGCUUUUUUGUUUAGAAUAAGAACUCUUAAUGAACUGAAGAUGUUAAAUAUUGUAAGAUAGGUAGAAAGAGCAUAAACAAUCUAUGUUUGACCUGAUCAUUCACAGUGUUGAAGUUUGUAGCAGUCACCUGUCAUAAUAAGCUUGUAUCACCAACUGAACCAAUUAGAGAUCAGUACAAUUUGCAUUUUCAUGUUGCACACAUCUAUAUCAUAUACUCUGUUUUUUCAUUGCAGAACAAUAACACGGUAUACGUUAAACUACACAGUUCUUUAAAAUCAAUCCCUAAAGCCCAUUCAUCAUUCAUGCAUCACAUCAGUGCUUAUUUAAUGUGCUCCUUGAUAACCAUGGAAAACCACAGACUUAAGAAUAAACAAGAGCAUGUCCAUUUACAGUACGUAUCACACAAAAACCUUAUUCAUUUGCUAGAGACAUAUUUCAGUAUACAGUGCUUUCAUAAUACACAGUCCAUUUCAUCCUUUAAUAAGAUAGAAACAAUAGACACAACUGGGUAAAGGUCUUGGUGUUGGUAGAAUAUAAAGAUUGUUUAAAAAAUAAAAUAAAAUUAACACAAUAAUAGUAUGCACCAUGAAUCAGGAGAUUUUAUAUUCUUAAUUAUUGAAAUAAGC